AAGUCGUAUUGCGGACACUUUUUGAUCAACUCCUGGAAUCGGGUCCAGGCUGCACAUAAAGUCUCUCCCGGUUGCUGAGUAAAAUUGGUGAUUUCAUUCACAACUU